rnacentral:rRNA from 1 species
GAUGAACGCUGGCGGCGUGCCUAAUACAUGCAAGUCGAGCGAACGGACGAGAAGCUUGCUUCUCUGAUGUUAGCGGCGGACGGGUGAGUAACACGUGGAUAACCUACCUAUAAGACUGGGAUAACUUCGGGAAACCGUAGCUAAUACCGGAUAAUAUUUUGAACCGCAUGGUUCAAAAGUGAAAGACGGUCUUGCUGUCACUUAUAGAUGGAUCCGCGCUGCAUUAGCUAGUUGGUAAGGUAACGGCUUACCAAGGCAACGAUGCAUAGCCGACCUGAGAGGGUGAUCAGCCACACUGGAACUGAGACACGGUCCAGACUCCUACGGGAGGCAGCAGUAGGGAAUCUUCCGCAACGGGCGAAAGCCUGACGGAGCAACACCGCGUGAGUGAUGAAGGUCUUCGGAUCGUAAAACUCUGUUAUUAGGGAAGAACAGAUGUGUAAGUAACUGUGCACAUCUUGACGGUACCUAAUCAGAAAGCCACGGCUAACUACGUG